rnacentral:lncRNA from 1 species
UUCUCGACUUUCUGGAUCUUUGCUGCUUUAAGCAAACAAUUAUAAGGAUCAACCCGCAAACCAUUAUUAAAGGGAUGGUUUCUCAGAAAACAUUAAAGGUUGAUAAUUUUAUUUAUGGUUUUGCAUAGGAUAAGUCACGCGGUAAACUUGGUACAAAUGAAACCAAUGAUGUCCAACCAAAUUACAAAAUACAUCAUAGAAGCAUGACACAAAAGCAUCCGUGUUUAUUGAUAUUGAAGACUCAUUUCUUCCCGCUUUUCUUUAGCCCAGAACCUCCAAAAGCACCCUUCUGUUGAGCUUUGGCUUUGAGCUCCUUGAGUGCCUGCAUACCAUGGGACAGCCAUAUUCACUCAUAUACCAAGAAACAAAUAUACGGAGAGGCUCUAAAGCGAACUUUAAAGAGCGAACCAAAGACGAACCGUCGUCUUUGGUGUCUAUGGCGACGGUUCGAUCCGUCGUCAUAGCCAUGUAGUCUUUGGCGACGGUUCGACCCAUCGCCAUAGACACCAAAGACGACGGUUUCGCUCUUUAAGGUUCGUUUUAGAACCGGACCGGAAAUAGUACACGAUAAGAACAGAGCACAAUCUAACCUUUUCCUCUUCCUUCUUCUUCUGAAGUUUAGCCAAAUCAUCCUACACGGGCAGAUAUAGUUUUAUUAUAGGAAUGACAAAAACAUAAAACCAUGUAGAUGUAACUUGUAAGCAGUUAAUAGGUGAGUACCAUGUGGACAAAUUAACCUUUACGGUGGGGAUAAUUUGGAACCAAAGUUAUUUUCAGGAAAAAUGGUCCUUGAACUCAUUUCUACUAUUGAUUGUCCCAACUUCAUAAUCAUUUGAUAACUAUACCAUUUUUACAUUCUAAUGUUCCCACCCUUCAUUUUAAAUUAAAUCUGCUUCCUAACCCUUAACAUCGCGACAUUGCCAAGCCCAUCUAUCUAUACCAAAUUAGGAAAUAUGUUACUCAGCAGCAUAACAAUAUACUCCCUUCAUUCUGAAAUAUAAGGCCAGACUGACUUUUUUAAAGUCAAAUAGACAAACUUUCAAAUUCAAAAUUAAUUUUAUACAUCUAACUUUUGUUAGUAGUAAUAAUUUGUAGAUAGUUUGUGAUUUCCAUAAUUGUAAAACCUAAAACUAAAUGAAUUCAUAUCAAUUUUGAAUUAGAGGUCAUAUAUUUUGGAACGGAAGGAGUACCACACGAAAGGCAAAACUGAUUGCUCGUUUAAUUAUGCCUAAGUAUUAGUUUUUCUUUCAAAAGGGGUAAUUUUAGCCCUAGUUGUGGGGAAUGGAAGUAUUAGUUGAGAUCAACAGUCAUAAUUUUUCCAAUGUUUAUGGGGCUCGAUAGUAGAAGAAAUGUAAAGCAAUCUUAAAAGAAAUGAUAUAUCUAUACAAAGUUCAGGAAAAUCAAAGGCAUGGAUCAGAACCACAUCAUAGAGCCGUAAGUAAUUACAAAAGAAAGAAGGAAGAACUAAACUUAUGAGAUUUAAUUUCCAUUCAAAAAAGAGAAACAAGUAGAUGUCAUGCACGAUUUUUAGGGAACUGAAGCUGUUAGUAAGUUUAAAUAAAAUAAUUUGUUUAACAGACCAUAUACAAAAUGUAGAUUAACCCUGAAUUGUGGCUGGAAAAAGAUAUGGGCAACCAGAUACAAAAUUUCCCUUUAUUCUCAAUUAUUUUCUCUCCAAACAAAUAAACAACUAUGAGAAGAAUUAAAAUAAAUGAAUAAAAAUUUAAAAAAUACUCAGGAACGAAAUUCCCCACUUUCACAGAUCGUCCCAAUAAAAUAAUAAACCACUGAAAUUAAUGAAAUAUAACAUAAAAACAGGAAACAAAAGUAAAGAUUAGGGAUUAAUACCUCAUCAUAUUCUUUUUUUUCAGCCUUGGGCUGCUUCAAAGGCUUUGCUUUCCCACCUGCGCAACACAGAAUUAACUUCUUUAAUAUUCUAGGGAAGCAUCACAAAUCACGAAUUUUAUGUUCUAAAUCAUUGAAACGAUGAAGCAAUAGAUAAACUAAGUGUGCAAAAAAUUAAAUCACCUUGCUUUGACGACAUUGUUGAUUUUUAGGGUUAGGGUUUUUUCUGAUCUAGAAAGAAGACCCGGAAUAUGGAAGACAAGGCGGCCCUAACCCAGGUCGGAUUUGUUAUUGGCCUUGGGAAAUUGUAUGGACACCAUCUUAUAUUCCCUUUAGGGGAGAACCGUAUAAUUAAC